GUGUACCGCACACAGACGCCUACGUUCCAACUACGAGUUAUUGACUCUUUUUCCGUAAAACUGUCGUCUGUCUGUCGAGUGUGACUUCCAUUUUUGUUUGUGAAUUUCAUCUUAAUAACAAAUUAUUAUUUUUAUUCUUAUAAAUUAUUAAAUACUUUUAUUAAUAUAUCUUGGUUUUAUUUGACUAUAUUACCGGUUUAUUCGUAUUACUAGCUUCCUCAUCAAACAUGGGAUCCGACGAACCAGAACAAUACAGAAAAUUAUUCAUUGGUGGUUUAAAUUACACCACAACUAAUGAUUCACUUAAAGAAUUUUUUGAACAGUGGGGUGAAAUUGUAGAUGUCGUUGUCAUGAAAGACCCUCAAACUAAAAGAUCUCGAGGAUUUGGAUUUAUUACUUAUUCACAAUCAUCUAUGGUUGACCAAGCCAUGUCAAAUAGACCCCAUAAAAUCGAUGGUCGUGAAGUGGAAACCAAGCGAGCUGUUCCACGUGAUGAUAUUGAUAAACCAGACAUUGCAGCUACUGUAAAAAAAAUGUUCGUUUCUGGCAUAAAAGAACAAUCUGAAAGUGAUCUUCUUGACUAUUUUGGAAAAUUUGGUAAUAUCACUAAUGUAACUAUAGUAACUGAUAAAGAUUCUGGUCAAAGAAAAGGAUUUGGAUUUAUUGAGUAUGACGAUACAGAUUCAGUUGACAAAGCUGUUUUGAUCAAAAGUCACCAAGUCGCUGGAGGAAAAUUGGAUGUGAAGAAAGCUAUUAGUCGUAGUGAUGGUGCUGGUGGUGGCCGUGGUGGACGAGGCGGUCGUGGUGGUGGCGGAGGCGGUGGUGGUAAUAGAAGUAGCUGGGGUGGAAACCCACGAAACGAACAGUGGGGAGGACAUCAUAACAGAUCAAAUGGCGGCGGAGGAGGAUAUGGAAAUUCUGGAAUGGGAGGAGGAUAUGGCUCUGGCGGCGGUGGUGGUGGUGGGUAUGGAGGUAGUGCAGGUGGUUACAACUCAAAUUCUGGUGGAGCCUGGCAAGGUGGCGGUGGUGCUCCUCAAAGUUGGGGUAACAAUAAUCCAGCAUGGGGCAACCAAGGAGGUGGUGGUGGAGAUAGUUGGGGAGGCUCACAACAACCUAGUAAUAACUGGGGUCCAAAUCAAAGUUAUGGUGGUGGUGGUGGCCCAAUGAGGUCAAAUUAUACCUCUAAUAAUCGUGCUACACCUUAUGGAAACCCAGGUAGAGCUGGUAAUGUAAAUGCUGGUAAUGCUGGUUAUGGUCAAAAUCCUGGUCGGCGGUAUUAAUGCAUCACUUUCAACUAAAGGGUGGGCAAUAUGACUGUCAAUUGAUACAUUUUCAUCGUGAAUGUAUUUCUUUGUCAUUGAUCCUGUCACUGGAAGAAAAUAUACUAAGUAUAUUCCAAAUACAAACCAUGAAAAUCAGCUUAUCUACAAGAAUAAGCCUUGAUAACAUGAAAAAUAAUAGAAAUGUUUACAGAACUUGAAAAGAUCUUGUUACAGAGUUUUAUUGACAAUUAUACAUUGAAGAAGGUUUACAGUUCAUAUAUUAUGAAAUAUUUUUCAGACUGGUGGUGUUACAAAAAUGACUUAUAUGAAGAUAACAUUUUUGUAAAGCUAAUGAUUUUACUUGUGUUUAAUUGAGAAAUAUAUAAUAGUUUUAAUUAAA